CGUCUUAUAGAUCUGCCCUGCUAGCGCGGCGUCUGACUUUGACGCAUGCACGUACACGGUCAGCCCCUUUCCUCAGUGCUCGGCCUUCUCGCGCGUCUUCUAGGUCUGCCCUGCUAGCGCGGCGUCUGACUUUGACGUAUGCGCAUACAGGCCCCGCCCCGUCCCUCAGUGCUCCGCCUUCUGGCGCGUCUUCUAGAUCUGCCCUGCAAACGCGGCUUCUGACUUUGACGCAUGCGCAAACAGAGUUCUCGCCCGACCAGGAAAUCCUUCCGAUGUCGCGCGUCCGCUGUGUGAGGAAGAUGAAAGGGUUGUGUUGUUUCUUGUAUACUUUAGGACAACCUUAGAAGUCGCUGUUGUUACCAAAACGCCAGGUUCGAUAGUUCUCUUCUUCAUAACCUUUUGUUUUCACCUGGUGUGAAACAAAAAGGUGGAUCUAGGUGAAGCUUUUACUUAGUAGUGGACAAGUUGGAGCACUGUGUCGCAGCAGUUGGCAGGCAUACUGCUAUCAAGAGGUCUGAACUUUCCAGGUGGCUCAGUGGUAAAGAAUCAUCCUGCCAGUGUAAGAGAUGCAGGUUCAAUCCCUUGAUUGAGAAGAUCCCUUGGAGAAGGAAAUGGCAGCCUACCCCAAUAUUCUUGCCUGGGAAAUCCCAUGGCCUGGAGCCUGGUGGUCUACAGCCCAUGGAGUCACAAAGAGCUGAACAGGACUAAGUGACUAAAUAACAACAAUACCUAGCGAGUAAAGUGCUACAAAAGAGAUCCCUGAAGCUUCUUGAAAUUGCUAGAGUAAAAUUUCUUGUUAUGGUUAGGGUUGGGAAUGGACAAGUUUGUAAGGGCAUAAUAAAUUUUAAUUUGAAAGAGCUAAA